UACGGGGGGGGCAAGCGUUGUUCGGAAUUACUGGGCGUAAAGGGUCUGUAGGUGGCCAACUAAGUCAGACGUGAAAUCCCUCAGCUUAACUGGGGAACUGCGUCUGAUACUGGAUGGCUCGAGUGCAGGAGAGGAACGCGGAAUUCCAGGUGUAGCGGUGAAAUGCGUAGAUAUCUGGAGGAACACCGGUGGCGAAGGCGGCGUUCUGGACUGUAACUGACACUGAGGAACGAAAGCCAGGGGAGCAAACGGG
rnacentral:rRNA from 1 species